rnacentral:rRNA from 1 species
UACGUAGGGGGCGAGCGUUGUCCGGAGUUACUGGGCGUAAAGGGCACGCAGGCGGUGCGGCGCGUUUCGCGUGACAGCGGAGGGCUUAACUCUCCGAGGAUGCGAAAGACGGCGGCACUUGAGGGCCAGAGAGGGACACGGAAUCCGGGUGGAGUGGUGAAAUGCGUAGAGAUCCGGAGGAACACCGGGUGGCGAAGGCGGGUCUACUGGGCCGAUACUGACGCUGAGGAGCGAAAGCGUGGGGAGCGAACAGG